rnacentral:hammerhead_ribozyme from 1 species
AUCCAGAUGACGAGUCUUAAACAGGACGAAAUGUGCAUUUUUCUGGAU